rnacentral:rRNA from 1 species
AUGAACGGGUGGCAGAGGACGCUGAUGAAUCAGCAGGUUGGCAGCGCUGGCCUUGGCGUUGGCGGCUCCGGCGGGACGCAGGAUGUGGUGGGCCUUGCCGCCGCGGCCGAUCCCCAGUUUGUGAGGCUGCGGGACAUGGCCCGAGAGAAGAUAUUCAAGUUUUUGCAAACGUUGCAAUUGCUGCCUCUCUGGCGGCCGCGCUUCCGGGCGCUUGCGAGGCGGCUCGAGGAAAUCUUGUUUAGAAAAUACCCAAACAAGAUGGAGUACUAUAACAUGACGAGGCGACCAAUGCCACCAGAAAUGAUGUUUGCUAUCAAGACCUACACGGCUCAGAACCGACAAUACCGACAAAAUCAACAAUCGUUAAGACAGAUAGCAUCUUCCCCUGGCUAUGGGGUGAUGAACCUGACAUCCAGUAUCAUGCAAGGCGCAAGCAAAAAUUCUAGAAUGUCUUAUGUGACCGGCAAUGUUGGCCCUUUGUCGUCUAAUGCAGACAUGAUUCUGCAGAAUGCCAACAUGGAUACCUCCCUGCCAGAAGGAGCUUCUCAUGGGCAUGUGAACACAAUGCUUUCACUAGGGACAAACCCUACACGACAUGAUCUUUCUGGAUCGUCCAAUAACAACCUACCCAAGGUGGCGCAGGCACGCCCGGCGCCUAUGAAGGAUCUCCCAAGGGAACCAAAGUUUACCUGCCCAGUCUGCAUCAAUGAGCUGGUCGAUGCAUCAUCUACUAUCUGCGGCCACAUCUUCUGCAAGAAAUGCAUAGAGGCCUCCAUCCGAUUUCAGAAGAAGUGCCCUACUUGUCGUAGGAGGCUGACCAUGAGAAAUUUCCACCGCAUCUACCUCCCGGCGAUGGAUUGA